UACGUAGGGGGCGAGCGUUGUCCGGAAUUACUGGGCGUAAAGCGCGCGUAGGCGGCUUUGCAAGUCGGGUGUGAAAUCCCCAGGCUUAACCUGGGAACUGCAUUCGAGACUGCAUUGCUAGAGUAUGGGAGAGGGAAGUGGAAUUUCCGGUGUAGCGGUGAAAUGCGUAGAUAUCGGAAGGAACAUCAGUGGCGAAAGCGACUUCCUGGACCAAUACUGACGCUCAUGUGCGAAAGCGUGGGGAGCAAACAGG
rnacentral:rRNA from 1 species